GCGCACCAGUCGCGAAACUUUACAAUGUGCGAAAGCACGAUAAGGGAACUCUGAGUGCCUCCUAAGGAGGCUGUUCAGGUGUCUAAAAGCACCUGAAGGAAGGGCUGGGUAAGACCGGUGCCAGCCGCCGCGGUAACACCGGCAGCCCAAGUGGUAGCCACGUUUAUUGGGUCUAAAGCGUCCGUAGCCGGCUGGGUAAGUUCCUUGGGAAAUUUGGCUGCUUAACAGUCAAGCUUUCAGGGAAUACUGCCCGGCUUGGGACCGGGAGAGGUCAGAGGUACUCCAGGGGUAGGGUGAAAUCCAUUAAUCCUUGGGGGACCACCGGUAGCGAAGGCGUCUGACCAGACCGGGUCCGACGGUGAGGGACGAAGGCUAGGGGCGCGAACCGGAUUAGAUACCCCUGUAGU
rnacentral:rRNA from 1 species